rnacentral:rRNA from 1 species
GACGAACGCUGGCGGCGUGCUUAACACAUGCAAGUCGAACGGAAAGGCCCUGCUUUUGUGGGGUGCUCGAGUGGCGAACGGGUGAGUAACACGUGAGUAACCUGCCCUUGACUUUGGGAUAACUUCAGGAAACUGGGGCUAAUACCGGAUAGGAGCUCCUGCUGCAUGGUGGGGGUUGGAAAGUUUCGGCGGUUGGGGAUGGACUCGCGGCUUAUCAGCUUGUUGGUGGGGUAGUGGCUUACCAAGGCUUUGACGGGUAGCCGGCCUGAGAGGGUGACCGGCCACAUGGGGACUGAGAUACGGCCCAGACUCCUACGGGAGGCAGCAGUGGGGAUUAUUGCACAAUGGGCGGAAGCCUGAUGCAGCAACGCCGCGUGCGGGAUGACGGCCUUCGGGUUGUAAACCGCUUUCGCCUGUGACGAAGCGUGAGUGACGGUAAUGGGUAAAGAAGCACCGGCUAACUACGUG